GUCGCUUUUUUCGGAACUCGUUCAAGUUAGUCCCAAAGUUAGUUUGAAGUAGUUGAAAGUCCAUUGUAAAGAGGUGUCAUGGAUGCACAGAAACUAAUUAAACCGGCCAAAUUCAUAAAGGGCUCCAAAGAAAAGAAUAUUCCGCGGGAAGUCGGUGGGAAAGGUGACUCUUGUGUUACGGAGCACGACUAUGCUAUGGACACCGCUCAGCUAAACAAGAGGGACCGUACUAUCGACUCCUUACCAACUACGCCAGUCAAAAAUCCUGCAGAGAAAAAGCCCAAACCAGCUGAUGAUGGUGAGGAUAGUGAAGUUUCCAACAACGCCAUUUUACAGGCAAUUUUGGGUCUUGAAAAAAGAGUGGAUGUGCAACUAGCUGAUCUGAAGGAGCAGACAAAACAAAGUAGCGUCAUGAUUGCUAGUUUAGCCAAAGCUGUUCAGUUCAACGCGGAGGAAAUGAAAGAAUGCAAAAAGAAAGUUGAAGAUUUGAAGAAACAAAACGACCAGCUUUGCAAGGAUAACGACGAUCUUAAAAAUAGAGUGAGAGAGCAAGAGAGAUACAGGAUGAGGUGGUGUCUGCAGAUUAAAGGUUUGGAAGAAAAAAGAGAUGAGAACAUUCGAGAACAAGUCACCGAAAUCCUCCGGAAAAUCGCACCAGAUCUUGAGUCGAAGGUGGAGGAUGCAGUUGACGUCGUUCAUAGAACAGGGAGAAAGAUGGAUAACAAGAUCAGACACGUUGUCAUUCUAUUUGCAAAGAGAUGGGGGAAGGAAGAAAUCUGGCGUCGGACCAAGAACUCGCAGGUCUGCAAGGAUAAAGGCAUCCGCUUUGCUGAAAUGUUGCCGCGGGAGGAUUGGGAGGAGAGAAGACGCUUGUGGCCGCAAAUUGAACAAGCGAGGCGAGCUGGAAAACUGGCUUUUUUUCGGGGUCCACAUGGAUACAUAGACGGACGUCGGAUUGGAGAUGAAGGGUGAAGUAAUUAAAUAUGACUGUGAUAUAAUGGAAACACUUGUAAAGGGACAUUAUAACUCUAUU
ensembl:lncRNA